rnacentral:rRNA from 1 species
AAUGAGUUGAAUCUAAAAGACUUUUCGAGGAACAAUUGGAGGGCAAGUCUGGUGCCAGCAGCCGCGGUAAUUCCGGCUCCAAUAGCGUAUAUUAAAGUUGUUGCAGUUAAAAAGCUCGUAGUUGAACUUCUGUUUAUGCCCGGUUCUGGCCUCGGUCAAGCCGUGGCGUGAACAUCCGCUUGCAAACCUAGCCCGGCCUUUACUGGUCGACUAGGGGAGUAGGCCUUUUACUUUGAAAAAAUUAGAGUGUUUCAGGCAGGCAAUGGCUCGAAUACAUUAGCAUGGAAUAAUGGAAUAGGACUUUUGUUCAUUUGAUUGGUUAUUGAACAUGAGUAAUGAUUAAAAGGGACAGUUGGGGGCAUUAGUAUUUAAUUGUCAGAGGUGAAAUUCUUGGAUUUAUUAAAGACUAACUUAUGCGAAAGCAUUUGCCAAGGAUGUUUUCAUUAAUCAAGAACGAAAGUUAGGGGAUCAAAGACGAUCAGAUACCGUCCUAGUCUUAACUAUAAACUAUACCGACUCGGAAUCGGUCUGGCCUUUAAAACUGGAUCGGCGCCGUAUGAGAAAUCAAGUCUUUGGGUUCUGGGGGGAGUAUGGUCGCAAGGCUGAAACUUAAAGGAAUUGACGGAAGGGCACCACCAGGCGUGGAGCCUGCGGCUUAAUUUGACCCAACACGGGGAAACUUACCAGGUCCAAACAUGGGUGGGAUUGACAGAUUGAGAGCUCUUUCUUGAUUCUAUGGGUGGUGGUGCAUGGCCGUUCUUAGUUGGUGGAGUGAUUUGUCUGGUUAAUUCCGUUAACGAACGAGACCUUAACCUGCUAAAUAGUACGUUAAUGUCCAAUUGAUGUUACUUCUUAGAGGGACUAUGCGCUUUGAAACGCAUGGAAGUUUGAGGCAAUAACAGGUCUGUGAUGCCCUUAGAUGUCCUGGGCCGCACGCGCGCUACAAUGACUCGCUCAGCAAGUUUUUCCUGGUCCGGAAGGAUUCGAGUAAUCUUUACAAUACGAGUCGUGUUAGGGAUCGAUCUUUGCAAUUAUAGAUCUUGAACGAGGAAUGCCUAGUAAGUGCAAGUCAUCAGCUUGUACUGAUUACGUCCCUGCCCUUUGUACACACCGCCCGUCGCUCCUACCGAUUUCGAGUGAUCCGGUGAACCUUCUGGACUGAACAUGUUUCGGCAUGAGCGGAAGUUAAGUAAACCUUAUCACUUAGAGGAAGGAGAAGUCGUAACAAGGUU